GUAACACGUAAAGAACCUGCCCUCAGGUCUGGGAUAACCACGAGAAAUCGGGGCUAAUACCGGAUGGGUCAUCGGACCGCAUGGUCCGAGGAUGAAAGGCGCUUCGGCGUCGCCUGGGGAUGGCUUUGCGGUGCAUUAGCUAGUUGGUGGGGUAAUGGCCCACCAAGGCGACGAUGCAUAGCCGACCUGAGAGGGUGAUCGGCCACACUGGGACUGAGACACGGCCCAGACUCCUACGGGAGGCAGCAGUAGGGAAUCUUCCACAAUGGACGAAAGUCUGAUGGAGCAACGCCGCGUGAACGAUGAAGGCCUUCGGGUCGUAAAGUUCUGUUGUAAGGGAAGAACAAGUGCCGCAGGCAAUGGCGGCACCUUGACGGUACCUUGCGAGAAAGCCACGGCUAACUACGUGCCAGCAGCCGCGGUAAUACGUAGGUGGCAAGCGUUGUCCGGAAUUAUUGGGCGUAAAGCGCGCGCAGGCGGCCUCUUAAGUCUGAUGUGAAAGCCCCCGGCUCAACCGGGGAGGGCCAUUGGAAACUGGGAGGCUUGAGUAUAGGAGAGAACAGUGGAAUUCCACGUGUAGCGGUGAAAUGCGUAGAGAUGUGGAGGAACACCAGUGGCGAAGGCGACUCUUUGGCCUAUAACUGACGCUGAGGCG
rnacentral:rRNA from 1 species